rnacentral:rRNA from 1 species
AUGUCCAUGUGCGAGAACUUCCUGGGUUGUCGACCACACUGGGGUCUCUUUAAGCACAUAUUCACCUGUCGCUCACAGACGGUGAAAAAGGCGAGUCCGGAUGAUGAGAGGACUAAGGUUAUCCAGAUGUGUGGGGGUCUUGGGAUUCAGAUGAGGAAUAAGAGUACUUUCCCGGCCAUGACCCUUCCUGAGUCGGUCAGAGGGUGGCAGUCGACUUGGUUCUACUGCCAAGACGAGUCGACGCCAGGGCAGUCGACUGGUCUCCCUCCGUUCUCCAUGGACCGAGUGGACAAACCCUCUUCUCUGAAGGUGCUUCCUGAGGAGAAAGCUCGGGUAAAAAUGUUGAUGGAGCGUGUAGUCCAACUCGUUAGGGACGGAGUGGCGGGCAUGGAUCUUCUGGAGGUCCUACUUAGACGGUGCAUCCAACCGCUUCAGUACCGAGGCCACCCGAUGUGGCUGUACUGUGGUACCGAAGACACCACUCGGGUCCAUCCAGAAGCGAUCGACGAUGCCACACUGGAGAGGUGUGUGACCGCAAUCACAGGGAAUAAGGACAACCCUCAAGGGGCUAGGAGGAUCCCACCACUCGACUGUACCUACACACCGGACACGGCCACCACUGAGUUAUACUCGAUUCCCAAUGGAGCGCAAACGCCGACUGAGGAGGAGGAAGGAAGUGGGGGCGAAAGCCCGGAGGAGUGGGAUUCGGAUGCUGAUGAUGAUGACGAGGGUGAUGACUCUGGUGAGGAGGAAGAAGAGGAGGAGGAGGAGGAAGUUGUACCUCCUCGCUCGGAAAGACGCUCGAAGCUUGUCCAUGAUCCCGCGACCGAGCGUGGUAAGGGGGUCGCAACCGCCACACAGUCGACCAAGCGCCCUCGGACUACUUCUCCGGUGCCGACCGAGAAAGCUCCGAAGCAAUCUCGAGUGGCGCCGUCGAAGACGGCGAAGGUCUUGCCGAAGAUGAAGAUGGUGAUCCCCACUAUCUCAGGUGCUGCUACUUCUGAUACCUUGGGCAGAGCUGAAGAUCAGGAAAUGGAGGAUGCUGUUACUUCGAAACCUGCUUCAUCUAACGUCAUUAUCGACCUUCCUGACGACGACGACGAGGAACCACUGAGGCAGAGAAGGAACAAGAAAGUGUCUGCUGGCAAGGCGACUUAG